CAUUACAUGGGAGUGGCCCUAUUUUUGUACUGGUCUACCCCCGAAGAGUAUAAAGGCAAAUUUUUAUCGUUCUCUCCGUUAUGGUUUAUACGUGAAAACCAAAAAAAACUGAAUUGUUUUUGUAUUUUUGAAGAUAGUGACAGUUGUCAGUUUCCAUCAUAUUAUAGGUGUUCUCUUCGAUCGAUUUGUCCCAUUUUCAAGGCAAUUUUUGAUUUUUGCGAGUCGAAAACAAGUUUAGUAUAGACGUUGCAUACACAGACGGCAGGACGGACAUGCUUAAAAAUAUACUAAAUAUACUUUAUGGAUACAAGCGCUUUGACGUAAUGAAUAUAUUCCUCCGAGCAACAGCUCUAACAUUAUUUGCAUGUGUGUACAUUCACAUGGGGAAAAAAAUUAGGUUCACAUUAAUUUUUCAUUGCGUUACAAGUUAUGAAUUCAAUUUUCUCACCAGAUCCCUAAAGUUUGGCGACAGCUGUUUUCUACUGUAUACUAAUAAGAGAAGCUAAAUGGUCAUCGAAUGCGCAUUUACACCCAAGUACGUUCAUUUGGAUGGGCUUACACACACACACACAUUUACACCAACACAUAUAGAUAGAUAUGAUUCAUCUUCAGUUCCAAGUAAACAAUAAAUACCAAAUAAAAUAGCAUAUAAAACGGAGACAACUCAAUUUAGUUGAUUAUAUAUUUCGAAGACCAGGAGGACGGGGUAGGGACAACCAAGGUAGCGGCAUUAUUAAAAGUUGGAAAUUUUUUUUUUAUUUUUAUUUUUUUAUUUUUUUUUAUUACUUUUGUGAGAGAUUUUCGUUUGCAAUUUCAAAAAUUUCCAAACAUUUUAUCGUGAGCUCAUAUAAGACAUGUUUAUGUACGUGCAUGUCGUCUACAGGAACGUAAAAUUGUGCAUGAACUUCCGCUUUGUUGGCAAUUGGCAGAUGCUUGGCGUGUAUACAUUCGUAUAUAAAAAACUCAAAUAGUAAUGUAGUAAAAUAAUUGAGAAUUGAUCGUUUAUUAUGAAGGAGAAACCUUAAGUGCUUUUAAUGAAUGAUAAAGAAAUUAUGUAAUAAGAAAAAAUCGAUGAAUAUUACGCAUAUAUGUACAAACACACACACACACGCACGCAAAGGCCCAGCCGGAGUCCCGAACAAGUCCUUAAAGGCAGCGAUACGAAGGAGGCCAGAAGUCUUCAUGACGAUGCUGCAUAGGUGUCUGGAAGAAAGGACAUUCCCAGAUGAAUGGAAGGUUCAAAGGUUGAACCUUAUUUCGAAGGCCAAUAACCCACUGAACCAGUCAUCGUCAAACCGUCCCGUCUGCCUUUUGGACACAAUGGUCAAGGUAUUGGAGGGGGCCGUAUUGGAACGCUUGCUAGUUGUGAUCGAAGAAAGACGUGCUCUCUCGCAUAACCAGUAUGGAUUCAGAAUAGCGCUCGGUCUACGAUCGAUCCCAUAAACCAUUUCGUGGCUCUGGCCUCUCAGACGCUAUAGCCGGAGACCGAUGGAGGGGCGGUGGUAAAAAGUACUGCGCCGUCGUCACGCUAGACGUGAAAAAAAGAUAAAUUUUCAAGGACUGAGGUCAUUGCUAUUUCUUAUUUUUUCAAGUUCAUAAAAAUUGACUACGCAAGUAACAGAGUAUGUUGAA